rnacentral:rRNA from 1 species
GACGAACGCUGGCGGCGUGCCUAAUACAUGCAAGUAGAACGCACAGUUUAUACCGAAGCUUGCUACACCAUACACUGUGAGUUGCGAACGGGUGAGUAACGCGUAGGUAACCUGCCUGGUAGCGGGGGAUAACUAUUGGAAACGAUAGCUAAUACCGCAUAAUAUUGAUUAUUGCAUGAUAAUUGAUUGAAAGAUGCUAUUGCAUCACUACCAGAUGGACCUGCGUUGUAUUAGCUAGUAGGUGAGGUAACGGCUCGCCUAGGCGACGAUACAUAGCCGACCUGAGAGGGUGAUCGGCCACACUGGGACUGAGACACGGCCCAGACUCCUACGGGAGGCAGCAGUAGGGAAUCUUCGGCAAUGGACGAAAGUCUGACCGAGCAACGCCGCGUGAGUGAAGAAGGUUUUCGGAUCGUAAAGCUCUGUUGUAAGAGAAGAACGGGUGUGAGAGUGGAAAGUUCACACUGUGACGGUAUCUUACCAGAAAGGGACGGCUAACUACGUG